AUAUCGCAAUGUUUGAUCAUUACGAAUGCAAUCAUUAAACUGAAGUAGCAAGAGCAUUGGUUGUCUUCGUAUGAGAAGUGAGAGCGUUUCAUUUUCUAGCCCACGGUAUUAGAAAUAUUUUUGACAUAUUCUUUCAAGUCACUUAUCUCAUAAUAUUUAAAAGAAAUAAAGCGGGUCGUGCUCAUAUAAUGUUUACCUUUUCUUAGUAAACUUUCAGCGGCUGUCUCCUAUCUUCAUAAAUCAUUCUAUGUUCCUACUGUGAUGCAGAGCGCAUCACUCAAAUGCCUGGAUCAGCACAACACCGACACAUACCCUGCCCGUAUUCUUUCAUAUCCUAUUUGAUAUAUGUGGAAACUUUUCCCCUGGAUGAUGCGCGCACUACCAGGGUACCUACGGAAAAAAUAUUGUGGAUUUUGGAAAUAAUUUGACUGAUAGUGAUAUAAGAAAUGAGCCAACCCACGUUAGCUGGCCAGCGGAAAAAAGACUCUUUAUAUACGCUCAUGCUAAUAGGGCCCGAUAUCCCGACUCACGAAAAUCCUGAGGACAAAGAAUGUCAGCACUGGAUUGUUGCCAAUAUACCUGGAGACGAUCUUAAAAUUGGUCUUAUUUAUCAGAAUACGUUGGAGUCUUAUCAUUUUAUGAACAUGGUAAGGAAUUUUUUAAUAAUAUAUCGGAGUCUUUUGCUCAAAAUGUGUAAGAAGCAUGGCAGGUAGUAACCAGUUCCUGUUUAAAAACUCACCACUUUCACUUUAAUUAAAUUAAUUAGUGAAAUUAAAUUAAAAUUAAAUCAUAUUAAAUCAAUUAUUGCAUUAAAAGUGAAAGAGGUGAGUUUUUAAAAAGAUUUUUACCAAUUACUGAGUACCUUCUCUGUUUGUUCCAAUUUUCAUCGACCAGUUCCGUAUUUUGUAAUUUGAUAUUAUGAUAACCAUUAACCACUCCCAUUAAUUUUUAUUAAUUUCUUCUCAGGCACCCAUCGUCUUUUAUUCUUGGUGUUCAAACAGUCAUCAAAAAACACGCCACUAAGUUCGAAAAGAAGGAAUAUGUAGCCAAGAAGUAAGUUUAUCUAUAUCAUUGCGUUGCUGUUAGAUUAUAUUAAUUCUUUUUGACCUAAAAUUAUUACUUCCAUUAAUAAGACUUAUACGUGCUCUUUUUUUUUUUUUUUUUUUUUUUUUUUUUUUUUUUUUGAACAAAGAUACGUGCUCUCGUCCAACUGUAUAAUCCGAUACCUCCAUAACCACCUCAGAUUACCCUUAGGAUCGUAUAAUUUUUUUGGCUCCGUGAAAAAACAUCCUGAAAAAAAAUACGCGGAAAAAACAAAAGUGGUCAAAGGCAGUGAGAACGGAUUCUGUAGUGAUAAAUUUUAAAUCCGAACUUCCAGAUCACUUCUGGUGAAACGCAAAUAAACCCGAAAGCACUGCGUAAUUGUUAGAAGCUAAAGAGAGAUUCCUUAGACUCGACUGCUUGAUUGAAAAAGAACAACAUUGUUAGGAGCGCUCUUAAGAACAACAGUUUGAUUGAAACGACCCUACGGUGGCUUGCUCAAAGUAUCUAUGCCUUUGUAAAAUUUACAUUUUUAAUGAUGUAUUCGACAUUGACUUCUUUAUCAACUAUCUUGGGUGUAUAAUGUUACAGAAUUGUCGGCUAUAUGCGGGCAUUUUUCGUGUUUAAGCCUUUUGCAGCGAAGUAUCAUCUAGGAGAACCAGUCGCAGCAAACUUCUUCUUGGUUCAGACCAAACCCCAUCAACGCAAUUUUAGUAAUAUUCCAGCCGGUUUAAGCGCUCGCUAUAAGACGGCCCCCCUUGACUAAGGACAGCAUGCUUGCGAGUAUUUAUGGAAAGUACUUCCGUUAAAAUUUUUAAUCAAAUUUUCACCUAUCAUUUUGCUGGAUACUAUAUUUCUGCAAGCUUGCUGUUUUAAUUUUGCUCACAGAUAACUUGGACUAUUUUUUGCCCAACGGAACAUGUGCAUUAUGACGUGAGCCGUGUCAUGCAUAUAGACUCAUAGGUCAUAGAACUCAUGUCUUAAUGCACAUAGUUCAGUUUGGCAGAAAUUCGUUCACUUCAUCAGGAUCGAUGUUGAAUUUUUAUGUUUGUAAAUAUUAAUUAGGAUAUAAUUUUUCAUUUUGCGCAUUUAACAUAAACAUUCAAGAAUAUAAAGACAUUUUUACCGCUUUUAAGAUUGAUUUUAUGAUUUUUUGUUUUAAACCCAAUCAUACCUAAACUGAUCAUUUGCGUCAUUAUAAAUGUGUAUUGUGUA
rnacentral:lncRNA from 1 species